rnacentral:lncRNA from 1 species
UGCAGAAGCCUUGGGAUCCCGGCAGCUUGGCCUGAAGCUGCCAGAGGCAAUCUUCUCAUUUUCCUUAUUGUGUUCCCCACCACUCCGGUUUCUCCAGUCUUCUAUUCCUUGUGCUGACUUUGUUUCGCUGUGUACAACUCUGCCACAAGCAGAUAUUAGAGGGCUUGGCUCAGCCAAUAGUUUUGAAGCCGCUAACACAGCCCCAAGUUUCAUUCAUUUGCUACCAAAGGAAACAACGUGCCAGCUUAACAAGGAGACAGAGCCACUGUUGCAGGACAAAUUAUUUUGUAUUCUGAGCACUGACAAAUAAAUGAGUUAAAUUCGAGCAGACAAUUAUUUAUAGGAAUUUAGCUGGCAGGCAAUGUUAACACGGGCUACCAUCCCCUGUAUUACUAAUGCUAUAUUAAUUGCAUGCAUACAGCCAGUAAAGUGAUUCAUUACCCUUUGUUGUUCCAGAUACAUUGUGUAUAAAUAGAGCCCACUAUUGAAAUGCCCACUGUCAGGCAUCUCAGACUGAGCACUUGUCUAGAAGAACGACAUAAUGCAUUGUUGUGAUGUGUAAGGAAGACAUGGUGGGGCAAACUGUCCAUACCUUCUUUGAAUUUUCUUUGAAAAGACUUACAGAUGGUGCUUGGAAGGCACGGGGAGAUGGAGGCACGUGUACCUGACUCACAAAGCAGCAGGUGGAGAUGCAGGUACUUUCCCCUUCAGAUGAAGGCGUGGAUGACCCAAGUGCCACUUAGAAUCAUAGAAUCAUUUGGAGCUGGGCUUCACCAGGGUGCAGUCUGCUUUGGAGAAGGCAGAAGUGUAGUGCAAUGCUUCCAAGUGGUACAGCAAAGACUCUAACAACCUUUUCUAUGUUUGCAACAGUUCUGCUGUUGAAGCCUGCUAAAAUAAACCUAAUUCCUAUAUAAAGAAGCAAUAAUUUGGAGGAGAGAGCAUUGCCUGGAACUAAGUGAACUGUUAUUUUCACUGCAAACUCCAAAUCCACUCUUAAGUAUCUGCCUGGUGUUUCUGUAGUAAAUCUUCAUUCUGAGGACAGAGCUUUCACUUUGGGCAUCACUUACUCUUCUUUUCACCAUUUUCAGAAGAAGAUGGAAAUCUUCCUAUAGCAACCUCUUAGAAAAGUCAGAAACAAGUGGCUCAUUCUCGGCAGUAUCACCCAUCAAUUCUCAGAGGCAGGCUUACUAAGGAAGGGACUGCAACACUUUCUCUGCCAAAGUUCUGCAGUUUGUCUCAUAGAAGAUACAGAGGGAUGGCGAAAGCAGAGAGCUGUCCUUCAAGUGCCCUUGCCUAGACAAAAUGAACAGCUUGAGUUCCUAUCAUUAGCAGGCAGAACACCUCAGCAGGAGGCACGCCGCUUGAAACCUAGAGAAUUCUGCAUGAUUACGGCUAAGCAACUCCUCAAAAAUCAAGCUGGAAGUUGUCCUGAGGGAAUUUUUCUAUGAAAAACUGUUUACACUAAGGUUAGCAUGCAUUGACAGAGCCCGAGUAGGAAAAAAAAUGUUAUUUGGAGAUCAACAGGGAGUUUCAGCUCUCAGAGAGAGAAAGGGUUGAUGGCACAUAUCCUCACCGCAAGGAUGAAGUUGUGUUCUUCACCUCCGGGUGCAGUGAGCAGCACCUCCAGCUCCAAGGUGAGGGUGAGCACACUCUCACAGCAUCGCAUAAAUACACAAUUACACGCAGCACACCUCUUCCAGGCUGGGAAAGGCUAUGUGCCACACAGCGCCCGCCUACUUGAAAGCCAUUUCUUUGAAACAGGAAUUGGAACUGCAGACCACAACUGUGCAACAUUAAGGCUGUCCAGGUUUUAGAAUCGUAGAAAAAAAGCUAGAAUAAACCU